ACAGAGGCAGGGUCUGAGGCUUGAUGACGGGUGCAUGGUGGGAGAGGGGGCUGGCACUGCUGGAACGGAUUUCUGCCAUUGUCCUGGAAUUCCCUUUGGCACCUCUUUGUACUCUGAUCUCUUGGCUCUGACUACCGAGCACAUCCUCAACACUGGAUUUGGCUGGAUUAUCUUGCCUGCCUUCAUCUGAUUGGUUCUGAUCUCCGGCCUGUCCUCCAAUCUACUAUACAUCAGUGUCUGGGAAUCUCUGUGCAGUACCCACCGUGUCUUAUUGGCAGCCGACCGGCUGGAACCAACCUUAUCCUCUUGGCUCAGACUGAACCAUAACACCAGGUGCUGAUGCUGUUCACUUCAGUUCCAUUUCCAAUAAACAUUUUGAGGAAUCCAACUGGUUGUCCACCUCGAAUACUGGAUCCUUUUGUUCUCAGCCUGACAGAAAAUAUUAAUUGUUUACAUGCCAUCUCUAUAAAAACACUGUUUUGUAUUACCACUUUUUCAUCACCCUUUUUUUUUAAAUCUCCCCUCUGUUAAUUUUACAACCAUAUCUAAUUUUUCUGAAGAUAAUAUAGGACCCCAAUACUUUACUGCAGUUUUAUCGGUCUGUAUGAAUUUUCAGUCACCAGUUCCAGGUGCCUUGUAAGUUGUCCUCUCUCCCUACCCCUUUUUUUUGCUCUCCCACUCAGUGUCCAGAGUAUGUCACUGUCUCCUUGGGUUGCUGAUCCACAGCAGACAAGCGCAGUCCAUUUGUCAGCAAUUGUCAGCGUUUAGCGAGGCAAUGAUGUGUGACAAGAUGUGAAGGGAGGGCAGGAAGUGAAAAAGACAAAAAAAAAGGAAUUCUGGGAUGCAGGGGGCAGGUGGAAGGGGGGAAAAGGGCUCCCUCCAAUGGAAUGAAAAACACAACCCAUCAUGCAACCCCAUUAAUGCUUGUUUAUUGUGCUCAAAAAUAAGAGAUGGUUAAUGAAUUUAAACAUUGUUAGUAGGGUGCUGCUGAGCCACACAUAGAUGAUGCAUCAGAUGCUAUUUUCUAUCACUUUGGUUAUUGUUUAGCAUUGAUCCAUAUAAGAGCUCCUCAUAAUCUCAAGAGCUUUAAGGUAUACUUCCUGGAUAAUGAACUGAACAGAUCUUGAUAUCUUGGCUUAACAUCUGUUUUUUAACAGAGGAUUGUUAUUUAUGUCUCCUUUUUAUUUUUUGAAACUUCCUUUUUAAACUCUAACCCUGUUAAUAAAUGUUCUAUUCUUGCUUGUCCAAUACUUUGGUGUAAAUAAUCUGUUGUAAAAUACUAUAUAAAUUAAGUUGACAGAAAAGUGACUGAAGAAUGUCUUGUAAGGGAUCUAUUUUUAUUCAAAGGAAAGUUGUUAUCCAAGAAGAUUGUGCGGACAUUAUUCUUCUUUAAACCCUAGUGGAUGGUUUCGUCUUCUGAGGUCGAAACAAUUUUUGAGUAUAAAUGAAUGCUGUAGAAAACUUUGUGUAGAUUGGGCAAUGAGUUUGAUUGUUAUUGGGUAUCUAAUUUCUUAAAAUUGUCUCAAUCCUCAAACUGUUGUAGAAGGAGUAUGAGGAACAUCUAUUUUUAUUUGCUUUUUAGUUUAUGUCAUAUUAAUUGCAAAGCACAAAUUUACUUCUGUUUGUUGUUUGGCCCACCAGGCUAUUACUCAGAACUUUUUGAUUGCUUUUCACUUAAUGUUAAAAAGAUAAUAAAGCUGUUCUUGGGGAAUUUUGGCAAACAUAAAAAGGUUGAAAAUUACACUGUAAAUAGAACCUUUAAUGCAACACCUGGCUUUACCCAUACUCAGCUCAUUAUCAUACUUUUUAUGCGUUGACAUACUAAAUGACAUUGUUUGUGCAAAUUGUACUACUUUCUUAGACCCUGUUUUUCUGAUAAUUUUUUGUCUUGUGUCCAGUAGAUAAUUAAUUAUAACUAUAAAACCAUUUAUUCCAUCAUGUAUUUAUUUACCGUUUCAAAGCAGUAUAGAAGGAAACAUUAACCUGUGAUCAAAUGUGACCUGGUGCAUUUAAGUGCAUAAACCCAAAAGUCUACUUUUUACUAUGA